rnacentral:lncRNA from 10 species
CUGGAAAAAGAAAUUCCCGGGCCCUGGCUUCCUGGUGCGCUGAUGAGGCGCCAGGGGCGAAGCAAGGCAUGGGCUGCUGGAGCGGGAAUUCGGGGGCGCCAGUGGCCCUGAAACGAGGGGAGGUUGUCUGCCCUGGCCUCUCCGGAAAUACAGUGUGUGCGAGCGUGAGGGCUGCCGUUCUGUCCUCUGUGAAGUUGCAGCUGCUCUGCAGCCAGGUACUAAAGAGCUGCUGGGACAGGGGAAUGAUGUGAGUACAAGACCCAGCACCCCAUUGUCCCAUGACCUUAUGACCCCCAGUGCCCUGAAGCUCUGCACUAGGCCCGGGGAGAUGGGUGACCCAGCAUCGAAAUCUCUCUGGGCACCUCCCAUACUUUUUUCCAGCCUGUCUGUUCUUAUUGCAGGAUCCAGGCUGAGGGUGAGGGGCUGGUCAAUAGGGUACUGGCGCCCCCUGAAGGUCUUCUUUCCCCAUCGUAUGAGAAGAUCCUGAAGCUCAUGGCUGAUGCCAAGUUUGUGCGGCCAAGCACAGUGUCGAUGGCGAAUCCUUGGCCAGUGAACUGCAGCAGCUGGGGCUGCCCGAAGAGCAAGUGGCCGGCGUGUGCCGCUGUUAUGAGGAGAAGCAAAGCCCCUUGCAGAAGCACUUGUGGAUCUGCAGCCUACGCAGCAAGUAUGAGGCCAGCCAGGGUCCAGGCUCCUUCUAGAAGGUGCACGCAGCACACAAGUGCAUGGAGAGUCCAGGGAGACAACUUAACCGUGGUCACAUCCCAAGCAGCUGCAGAGCUGGGACCUGGCCCUGGCUCUCCUGACUCCGCGGGCUGUGGAUUUGUACCUACAGGAUCAGACCUUGCCCUUUCCUCCUGGCUGACCCUUCCCUAGUCCCCUGUGCCUCAUGUGUGAGCACCCAGCUCACACUUAUUCCUCCCUCUCCGAAGCGUGGUCCCUGGGAGCAUGAGUGGCAGAAGGGGCAGCAGAGACUGUGGACCCCUCAGCUGCACCUAAGACCUCUGUGUGGUCUAGCUAUGUGUGCUGGGGGAGGCUUUUGGCCACCAUUUCCGCCUCUGUAAAUGAGACCGAUACCUGUGGCAUGGAGGGCGGGAGGCCAGUAUGAGUGCCAAGCACUUGGAGCAGGGCCCUGAGUGAGCAUGGACUUGGAAAUGGGUGUUCCUUGACUUUAUGCACCUUGGGAAUGGGAGUGGGGCUCCCUGCAUGGGUUGACAAUUCAUUGCAUUCCCCCACUCCGCCUCUUUCCCAGCCCUGCAAGUCCAGUCAUUGGGGGUCCAGGAGGGAAGAAGCCCCUGGCUGUGUGACUUCGGCCUGGUGCCUGGCUCUCUCUGGCUCUGAGUUCCUGGGAACGUCAGCACCCAAGGCAUGCCCUCAAGUUUAGCACCUUGACAAGAAAGGCGGGGACACUGGGAUCAGGCCCACACCCCUGGCCUUAAACCCCGUGGCCCCAGCUGGAGGAUGAGGAGGUGCUGGGCUUGGAUGGGGGAAUCAGGGGGGUAAAGGGACCUGCUCGCCCCUCAGCUUGGCUCAAAGGCUCAAAGUGUCAAAGGUUAAGCCUGCCCCUCAGGAAGCAGCCCGGGCCCAGCCAGACACUCACCAGGACAAGGGAAACUCUGACGAGCAGGAGGCUCAGGAUGAGGAGAGCCACGGCAUAGCUGGAGAUGAAGAUGCCCAGCGGGUUGGAGGCUUUGGGCCAGGAGUGCCUAGAGCAGAGCUAGAAGGCUAUGACAGGUGGGGCCUGUCUCCCAGACUCUGAGAAGGCAGAAUCUGGGCCCAGAAGGUGUUGUGGGACCAGAGAUCUGGGGCUAGGAGCAUCUUGGAGGGCUCCAUGAGGAGGGGAGGCAGGCUUCAGAUCAGGGCAUGUGGAGUAGGCAGAUGGACAGAGGGAGAGGGCCUGCAGAGGGAAGGAGGUACUGACUGAGGUCUGGGAUGACGGGUGUGCAGACGCUGGCGCAAACAGUCCCAGGAAGCUUUUACUCCUGGUGAGAGGCAAAGAGGGAGCAGGCCUGUUGCAUGGUGAAAGAGGAAGAAAGAGAGAGGAGGCAUCAGGCUCUUUUAAACAACCAGCUCUCCAGUGAACUGAUAAAAAACUCACUCAUUGAAUCACUUGAACCUGGGAGAUGGAGGGUGCAGUGAGCUGAGAUUGCACCACUGCACUCCAGCCUGGGCUGUGAGCGAACUCUGUCUCAGAAAAAAAAAAAGAAAAAAGAAAAGAAGAAAACUCACUCAUUACCAUGGGGAGGGCACUAAGCCAUUCAAGAAGGGUCCCCCACCAUGACCCAAACACCUUACACUGUAGGCCCCACCUCCAGCUUUGGGGAUCACAUUUCAACACGAGAUGUGGAUGGGACAAGUAUCCAAACUACGUCAGAGGCCCCACCCCUCCCUCUCAUCAGAGUCUUCUGUCCUCAGUUCAGGUGUAUGCUGGCCUCCAUGCCUGGCUUCCUAGGAAGUCAUCUUGGCCCCAAGGGGUUGGGCAUGGCCACUAGGCUGAAGGCUGGAGCCCUACCUCUCCUAGUCCCAGCCUGUGUCUCCAUCACUGGCUAGCC